UUUACUACUAUUUGAUGACUGCAGUUUCUCUCAUUUAGAGAAAGACAUUGUCCUUGGACUUCAGUAACCACUCAGUGAAGAAGAAAAUAGAAAACUUUUACAACUCAGAGAGAUCAGGAGAUUAAAAAUGUAGUCAUAUAGUUGUG
rnacentral:lncRNA from 1 species